UACUGAUAAAUAGCACUUCCCGUUUUUAUUGUCUUUGGAGGCAGUUCUGCACCAAGUUGUUUGCCAAACGCCCCAACAAAAAUUUAAGAAGAAAGAGAAAAUGUAGAAGAACAUUGCUUUUUUAGGAUUUUUUGUUAUUUUGCAUUUUUUCCAUUUUUGAUUAACUGCUAGGAUUUAUCAUUCAUUCUGACAACACUGUCUAUUGUAUACUGUUGAGGAAAAUAUCUCAGUCAGGCAGUUGUAUGUAGAAAUAACAGAACAAACCCCCCAGGUAUGUCUCCCCUCUGUUGCUGGGUAAGAUAACAUGCAGCUUUAGUUUUAUUGCAGGAGGGGAUAGGUCAGAAAAGGACAGUUCCUUUGUUCGAACAGAUUUCCCCUCCUCCUGAAAAAACAUGGGAGGGGACUCGGUCUUUUAAAAUGUGUUCAGACUUGUGAAAAAGCAGACAGAAUCCUGCAUCGCCAUGAGAGCAGCUUAUAAUGAAUACUACAAAUGGCCUUGAGCAUAUCAGUAGCCGGACUGUCAGGCUGAGAGUCAUUUAGGGCUCCCAGUCAUCUGAGGAAAGAACGUCUUUUCCUCUUGGAAGAAGACCGGCCCUCUUGAAACAACAAAGCGGUUGGAUGCAUACCUAGGGUGCCUAGGAGACACAGCAGAGGCACUGAAGUCCUUCCCAGCUUUGCGCCAGCUUUCACAUAAACCUAAUACAGCGUCCCCACCUCAACCGCCUGUGAAAGACUGUUUAGUGUUGCCGGACUGAUCCUCAAGCCAAGAAGAGUAUGCAUUGGCUCAAAGAACCAGCUGCUUUUGUGGCUCAUCAACACCUAUUAGUAAUUCUCUUACAUGUUUUCUGCUUGACUGACGUAGAUCCUGAUGUAGAAAGUGUUUCUUACAUUGUCUAGUUAAAUGUGGCACUGUUUACCAAACUGAGUACUGUGCAUUAUGUUUAGUUUUUUUGAUCAGUUAAUUUUGUAAAUCGCUAAUUCGUCAGCACCAAUGUGUACUUGUAUGUAGACAACCAUACACAGAUAAUUGUUACUAACUCUGCCCUAGAUUCAAUGGUUUACUGUCCAGUUGUGUAACUCUUUGCCCAAGAAUACUGCAGCUUGGAUGUACAUCACUCUCCAAUAAAGGCUACUGAAACAGG